ensembl:lncRNA
CAGGACUUUGACUUGGCCAGUCCAAAACAUUUGACAUUUGGUAGAAUGGCUCGUGUGCUUUGGAUCAUUGUCUUGCUGCAUGACCCACUUUCUCUUGAGAUUCACAUCAAGGACAGAUAUCCUGACAUUUACCUUUAGAAUUCGCUGGUAUAAUUCAGAAUUCAUUGUUUCAUCAAUGAUGGCCCAGAUGCAGCAAAACAGGGACAAACCAUGAUCCUACCAACAACAUGUUUCACAGAUGGUAUAAGGUUCUAAUGCUGGAAUGCAGUGUUUUCCUUUCUCCAAACAUAAUGCUUCUCAUUUAAACCAAAAUGGUCUAUUUUGAUCUCAUCCAUCCACAAAACAUUUUUCCAAAAGCCUUCUGGCUUUUCCGCAUGAUCUUUAGCAAACUAUGAAACGGCAGCAAUGUUCUUUUUGGCGUGCAAUGGUUUUCUCCUUGCAGCCCUGCAUGCACACCAUUGUUAUUCAGUGUUCUCCUGAUGGUGGCCUCAUGAACAAUAACAUUGUGAGAGAGGCCUUUGGUUGCUUAGAAGUUACCCUGGGUUCCUUUGUGACCUUGCGGACUGUUACAUGUCUUGCUGUUGGAAUGAUCUUUGUUGGUCAACCACUCCAGGGGAGGGUAACAAUGGUCUUUAAUUUCCUCCAUUUGUACACAAUCUGUCUGAUUGUGGACUCUUUAGAGAUGGUUUUGUAACCUUUUCCAGCCCGAUGAGCAUCAACAACUCUUUUUUUUUUGAGGUCCCCAGAAAUCUCCUUUGUUGGUGCCUUGAACAAACUUCCACUUCCACAAACAUGUGUUGUGAAGAUCAGACUUUGAUAGAUCCCUGUUCUUUAAAUAAAACAGGGUGCUCACUCGCAGUCUCACUGAUUGAAAACACCUGAUUUUAAUUUCACCUUCAAAUUAACUGAUAAUCUUAGAGGUUCACAUAGUUUUUCCACUCAUAGAUAUUCAAUAUUGGAUCACUUUCCUCAAUAAAUAAAGGAUUAAGUAUAAUAUUUUUGUCUCAUUUGUUUAAUUAGGUUCUCUUUGUCUACUUUUAGGACUUGUGUCCUAAUGAUGUUUUAUGUCCUAUUUAUGCAGAUAUAUAGAACAUUCUAAAGUGCUCACAAACUUUGAGUAAAGUACAGUUGUGCUUUGUUUGUGCAAAGUAUUUUUUUUGGAAUUGUUAUUUAGUUUCUUGUGUUAUGUACUCUCCAUGAGUAUUUAUAUGUGGUAUUUCCUUCAUUGUGUGUACCAGCCCAAUAAUUACACAGUGUAAAGCACAUUUUUAUAUAGCAUAAAAAAUCAUAACAGUUUUGAUAUUUAAGGGGGACCUGGUUUCGAAGGGUGUUUACACACUUGAAUCCUUUUUUAAAAGAACCGAACUCAGACCCGAACUCAGCUCCCUUGACGUUGACCAAUGGGAGAACCAAGUGAAAAAGGACCCAGUUCUCUUUGCAUUCACACUGUCCCUGUCCCUGAAAGUGGACUCAGAUCCUUUUUUGGUCCACUUAAGCAAUUAUGCUUUCUUAAACCUCUUUGUGUUCAUACUGUUGCUUUUUUCCCCCUAGUCCUCUUGCAGUGCUGUGCAUUGUGGGUUCAGCAAUACAGCACAUUUGAAAUCAGUUGUGUUCACGCAGAGGCUUGUACCAAGAAUUUCGUUUAAUAAAUCGUGGAGAGGCCACUUGACAUUGGCUGACUGUGCACUAGAUCACAGUUUAUCUCGUGUGGCCAUAUAUUUCUGGUGUAAUAUUUUCACUUUAACCCACCAUUGCAAGUUGGUCUGCUUAAAUUCUGUCAUUCAGUUCUGCUGAAAAUUGAAGAAACACUUUCGAAUUUCUGUGGGUGGUUGAUAAUUCCAAAUUUGGAGAAGUGCAGCCAUUUCCUCUUCUGUCCAUAACAUCCCUCUUCCAGCAGAAGCAGCCAUAUUGAAUAGCACGAUCUGUACGGAGGCCUGUAUGACACUUCUCAAAUGGAAAAUUCAGGUGAGCCCAGAGUAAUUUGUAUGCACAAUGCAAGUUUUUACAUACUGUACCUUAAGCUGAAAGCGAACCCCUCCCAAGAUGAUCUUGGUUCGGUUUGCUUUAAAAGGGUCUGAGAUUGAUUGGAGUGUUCACACAUGGGCCAAAAAUCCAGCAAACAGCAGACCCCUGAAAAGGACCAUAUAUGAAAACACCCUAACACUGUGCCCCACAAUCACACUAAAAUAGUAAUCAUAUUAUACGGUCUAAAUCUGACGAUAUAGGUACACUUCUACAUACACCUACUCUCAUCAAAUGAACCAGUUUAAGAUGACAGCGUAGAAAAAGCCCAGUCAAUGUCUAAGGGUAUUCUGCUGUACAGAGUGAUGUGGAGUCUUAUUGAAUAGUGCCCUCUAGUGGUUAAUGGUGCCCAUGAGCUCGCUUCUGUCCUCGAGUCAAAUGAAAUAGAAACUUUAUAAUGAUUAUACAAUAAAGUGCAUUGAUUAAUAACUCUCUCUCUCUCUCUCUCUCUCUCUCUCUCUCUCUCUCUCUCUCUCUCUCUCUCUCUCUCUCCUAUCGUUAAAUUUCACUGGAAUUUUUUCACUAUCAUGAUUGUGCUAAAAUAUUUCCCUUUUUAACCGCUGUGUUUAGAUGUUGAUAAAUUGUCCAUUUGGGAAAUGUAAUUGUAGGCCUUAUUAUUAAAUAAAUAAAUAAAUAAAUAAAUAAGAUUUAAUGCCUUGUGCAAUUGACCGUAUGUGUAUCUGUGGUUUUUAUUUCAUUUGCAGUUUUCAAGUAGUAUAUCAAUAUUCUGUCAUAUUUAUAUAAGCAAAGAUGAUGGUUUUAUUUGAUUUAUGGUAAAUUCAGGACCAGAAUUUGGUCAAUGAAAAACGACUAAUCCUUUCCUGUUCUGCCACUCCCAAGUGCAAAAUUGGGCCUGACCAAGGCCAUUUUGACCAAAAGCAAAUAAAUCCUGUGAAAGGAAUGAGGACAUCUGACCAGAAUAUAGCAUGUCUAAAACUCUAACUCUCCUCCUUAAUUUUUUUUUUUUUUAAAACUUGGAUUAAGAAUAGUACAGACUGAAUUUGAAUCCAACAGUUUAGGAAGACUCAUAAGGAGUAUAGCCUACAUAUUCAUAUAAACUGGGGAAAAAUAAUCCCAAACAAAGAUCUGUAAAUGUGAAUAUACAGUAUAGUGUCUAUGAUUAUACAACAGAGACUUUUAACACACAUUAGAUAAAAUAAUAUCAAGGCUCACCAAGAAUUUGUGAAAAUUAUACAAGGAAAAACUGUGUUAUAUUUAAAUUAUGUAUAAUAGGCAUUAUAAGAAAAAAUGCAACUAAACUAAACUGAACUAAACUAAAUCCUAGUGCAAAUAUUGACCAUUCAGAGGUAUUCAUGCAAGUUGGCUUGUGUGAAUUGCUCUAAAUUUGCAAUCAUGCUGCAGGUAUGUGGUAUAGUUUUAGGUGCAGUGUGAUCAUCUGUUAAUCCAACAAAUGACCCAAGAGAGAGAGAAAAAAAAACCCUGGUUGCUCAACAGAGUCAAAUGUAACUCUGCGGCUAAGAAGUCUGAGCUUAUGCAGCACUUGAUGAGUUUCACACAUGAAUGUGGUCUAAUUGUUUAUAAAUCCUCUACAACGUCAUGCAAACAGAAACAGAUUGGUGAAAUCAUCAUACAUAUGGUGAGUCAAAAACCAAGUCAAAGCCUCAAAGCACUUCUGUUUGAAAAAUAGCAUUUUACUGACAAGGUCUGAAAAUGUCAUUGUCAUCCAUGUUGACAAUGAAGUCAUGGUCUCAUCUAGUCUGAUUGAAGAUGAACACCUCAAACAUCUCUCUCUCUCUCUCUCUCUCUCUCUCUCUCUCUCUCUCUCUCUCUCUCUCUCUCUCUCUCUCUCUCUCUCUCUCUCUGCAAACUCUGCAAAAACACUUUUAAAUCGGUGCCUGUGCAGUUAUGACUUAGGUCAUGGUGACAUGUCAGCAGACUGCCCAAAAGAGACACACAGACAGGGAAACAUUACCAUCAAAAUGAGAAUACUGCCCUUUCCAUCACAUCAGAAUAAGAACACAAAUACAAGACAGUAAGCACUGGUUUUACUGCCUUGGGUUGAGACACCUUACAUUUUCUGAGUUGGUUCCAUGAGCCAUAAGACCAUAAGACAUAAGCUGUUUUGGUUCUAGGUUUGCUUUUGGCCUUAUUUUUUAUUUAACAUUGGCACUUAAGGAACCUAUUUCCAGGCUAAUUCUUAGAGCCUCCUCUGCCACCCUGUGAUCUGCUCCUCUUGAAAAAAAAGUCAGACGUAAACAGAAAGCCCACAUGCACCUAAAAUUUCCGAUGCCCUAUUUCCUUUGCCCAACAAUUAAGUUUUCAAGGCAAGUAAACCGCUCUGUGACGCCCCAUUACUGAAGCACGGUAGUGCUUUCAUGCAGACACAAUAAAUGUUGGUGACCUUUCACAUUAUAGGCAGGUACAGAAUGGCUCGUGUCAGAUGAUGAUAAUAGGCUGCACUUAAAUUCAUGUCACUCGUAUAUUUAAAAAUCUGCUAAACAAAACUCAAAUGUCUGCACCUUGUCUGUGUAUGCAGGCUUGUUUUAACAAUGCUUUCCUCAAAUUGCUACUUUGUGUGAGGUUACAUUUUAUAAAAAUAAAAAAAAAACAUUGUAAGUGCCUAAGUUUAGCUGACAGAGCCUGCAGAGGACAGCGUGCAGAAUAUUGUGCUUCAGAGUAUCCACUUUGUGACCUGAUAGAGGCAAUAUAAUGAUGCAGAGGAUUCAACAAGCCAUGUACAGAAUAGAGUCCUCAAGUGCCAUGCUACUGAAAGGUGCUAACCUAGGAGUUAGUAAUAUAGGAAUGACAGAAAUAUAUUCUUAACUCAGAACUCUAUACACUUUAAGAAACAAAUAAAAGACCACUGGACUGAAUAACAAAACCAAAAUAUACGCUGCGUAGAUUUGAUAUAUAUUUUUGAUGCUUUCCCCAUAAUGUGGACCCUCUAUAACAGUGAAAACACUCUUUUAACAUUGAACUGUGAUUGUAGAUAACGAUUCAGUGUGUAUUGAACUCUGCGUAAUAGCGUGACUAAACCCUAGCAAUACUGAAUAGCUUUAAAUACUUGUAUGGCGACACACUCUAUAACUCAUUUUCUAUUAAUCUUUAAAUAUAUCACAUACACCAGAUGGCUUGCCAAACCAAAGGCUGAUAUUUUUUUUUUUUUUUUUUUUGCUGUUUUGGAUUUGUCUGAAAAGCAACAUAUCUGGCAUCCAAAAGACGAUCUACAUUUACAAAUGAUUCAAAGGUGAUGAUGGAGCUUAACCCUGCCCAACUAAAUGUCUAUAUAUGUAAAAACCUGUUCCAGGAUUAGUGAGAGCAUAGAACAUUAAGGACAAUAACAUAAAUUUGGCAUUGUCAUAAAUUCACUCCAAAUGAACAAUAUACAAGUUAUCCACUUCUACUUCUUGUUGAUCUCUGCUGCCUUGUUUUAUUAUAGAUCUUAAACAAAAUACAGGAUUUUAUCAUACCUGUGGCGUCAUCUCCAGAAUUACUAGAACCCUUCAUGAAAAUGAGCGAAAUUGAAUAUACUCACCAGCCCCUUUAUAAUCACAGAAACUGGACAGUUAGAUGGAUAGAUAGAUAGAUAGAUAGAUAUAUCAUUUAUUGGUCCUCAAAGAGGAAAUUUGAGUUGAAGGUGGGAAAAAAAACAGGUAACAUUUUUCCAAUCUUCACCUGGCCUAUUUCUGUGAGCAUGUGCCCAUCAUAGGCUCAGAACCCUGUUCUUUGCUAACAGGAGUGGAAUGAGAUCCUCUGCUGUUGUAACCUAUCUGCCUCAAGGUUCCAAGACUUCACAAUGCAUGAAUAAAAGUCUGGUUUAUUUAAAGGAAGUAUCUGAUUUGAAACAGGUUCGUUGUAUUAGUAAUCAGUGACUGUGAUUUGGGGAAAUUAAUCAUGUGGCUGGUCAUGUGGCAGCUAUGAGUUCUAUGAGUUCAUAGUCUGUUUUAAUCAUGGGAAAUUGAAUUCAAUGCAUGGACCUAGGAUUUUUGUUACAGAAGUGGGUGGUGUCAUGACAAACCACCCCCCACCGACUUCUGGUUGUACAUUAGCAUAGAACACUAGCGCCAACAUUUGGCUUGGAUUAACUGGAAAGUUUUAUGCAACCCAAGAUGACUACUAGCUAGUGAUGAAUUCGCACAAGUGAUUCAUUUCUCAAGGGACUAGGGAGGCACAUAUGUUAUCAUUGGAACAUUGUAGUGGUUGGUUUUCUUGUCUUUGUGCUAACUCGCACUCUACGUCCCACCUAUUAGCACCAACAAGACUCUGGAAUGAUGGGAUCUAUGGUGUCCUCUCUGGGACAUUCUGUGUGCAUGUGAGAAAGGGCAUCUGCCUUGGUGUUUUUGGAUGCAGGAUGAUAGGAGAUGAUGAAUUGAAACCAUGAGAAGAACAGGCCCAUCUAGCUUUUUACUGUAGGUUCUAGUGAUCUGUGUAGAUGACAAACGGAUGUUCUGCUCCUUCCGGCCAAUGACACCACUCCUCUAAAGCAAACUUUACUGCCUGUUUCCAAUAUCAUAGUUAUGAUCUGUUUGGGAAACUUUUCUGGGAAAAGAUGGCUAUGGGGUGAAGCUUGGGUAAUGGGUAUGCCUCCUCUCUCUGAGAAGGUUUGGCCCCCACUCUGGUUUCUGCAGCAUCAACCACUUCAUCAUGGAAGAAGGGAUCUGGAUUUUUCAAAAUAGGAGCCAUGGUGAAAGUCUCCUUAAGCUUUUAGAAGGCUUGGUCUACUUGAGGAUUGUAGGUAAGCUUGCAUGGACCCUUUGUUAGUAGAGAAGUAAGGGGUGUUGGAAUGGAGCUAAAACUUUGAAUGAAUUAAAAGAGAAUCUUUGGAGGUCUUUCAUGGUUUUUGGGAUUGGCCAUUCACUGACAGCACUAAUUUUGGAUUGGUCCAAAAUCAUCCAUGUUAAGGACAUUGGCCAGGAGCAUGAUUUUGGGCACGUGGACCUCAACAAAUUUUUUCACCUUUUACAUACAGCUGCUGUUCCAAUAGUCUAGCCAGUACUCAUUUAACAUGGUUCACUUCCUAGAAUGUCACGAAGAACAUUAUUAGUGAAUGCCUGCAAUGCAGAGGCGGGUGUUAGCAAGUCCAUAUGGUACCACACAGUAUUCAUAAUGGCAAAAAGCCAUCUUCCACUAAAUUCCUUGAUAGAUGUAGAUAACAUUAUAGGCACUUCUGAGAUUGAGCUUAGCAAAAAUACAAACAUUUCUGAGUUGUUCUAGAGUGACAGUGGAUAACAAUAUUUGAUUGUCACCUGAUUCAAACCUUGAUAACCAAUACAAGAUCAGAGUCCUCCUCCUUUUUUGCACAAAGAAGAGCUAGAUGGAUAGAUGUACCCUUAUUUGAGGGCUACAGUGCUAUACUCCUCCUUGGCUUUCUUCUCGGCAGCCAAUAGGGGAUAGACCCAUGAUUGGGGCAUAGUAGAACCUGAGAGAAGAUCAUGGCAUAUAGUCUGUGAAGGGGAGGCCACAAGCUUUGGUUUUGCUAAACACUUCUUUAACAUCUUCCUUAACUUCCAUAUCUGAACUUAACAUCUAAGAAUGUUUUUAUUGUGACACAAAGGUUAGAUGCAUAAGUAUUCACACACUGGAUCAACAGUGUGUGGUAGAACCACCUGCAAUUACAGCUGCAAGUCUUCUUGGAUGUAUCAGCUUUGCACAUUUGGAUCUAAUAUUUUUGCCUAUUCUUCUUGGCAGAAUUACUCAAGCUCUGUUAGAUUGUAUGGAUACCAUUAUUAAACAGAUUUUACAUCAGAAUGAGGUCUGGGGUUUGACUGGGCCAUUUUUAACACAUUCAAGUUCUUGACUUUGAACCAUUCUAAUAUAGCUUUGGCAGUAUGCAUAGGAUUGUUGUUCUGUUAUAAGGUGAACUUCCAAAUGAGUCUUCUGUCUUGUGCAGACUGAAACUGGUUUUCCUCUAUGAUUGCCCUUUAUGUGGCUUAAUCUAAUUUGCCCUCAACCCUGACCAAUUUCUCAAUCAAUGCUGAUGAAAAGCAUCUUCACAAUUUGAGGUCAGCACUACCACGCUAAACUGUGGUGCAAAUGUCUGAGUUAUGCUUAUCCUGUAAACAGCUUUUCCCAUUUGAGAUGUAGAUCUAUCCAGCAUCUUCAGGGUUACCCUUGGACUCUUAGUUGCUUCUCUGACUAAUGCCAUACUUUUGGUCACUGACUUUUGGUGGACGGCCUCUUCCAGUUGUGCAUUGUGCAUUGUGAAAUGAUAUCCUUUCCAUUUUUAAUCAUAGAUUUAAUGGUGCCUUGCUAGACAUUCAACGUUUGGGAUAUUAUUUUAUAACCAUACCCUGACUGAUAUUUUUCCAGAACUUUUUCCUGGAAUUGUUUUGAUAGCUCCUUGGCCUUCAAAAUGCUAUUUAUUUAGGUACAGUAUGUUCUCAAACAGACUCCGAGCCUUCCAGGAGUAUGUGUAUUUAUAUUGAGAUCUCAUGACACUUUAAUUGCACACAAGUGUACUCCAUGAAACUAAUUAUGCAACUAUUGAUGGCAACUGAUUGCACUAAUUUGGGGGUUUCACAGUAACGGGGUCGAUACUUAUGUAUUUUUUUUAAUUUCGAAAUAAUUUUGCAAGCAUAUUGAUUCCAACCCAAUAUUAUGAGCUAUUUUGAGUAGAUUCAUGCCAUAUAAUCAAGUCACAAUUAAGUCAAGUCACUAUAAGCCAAUAUACAAUGGAAUUAGCUAAUUUCCAUAAAGGGGGGUCAGUAAUUCUGGCACUGACUAUACAAACAAACAGCAAAAUAUCAGAAACAUUUCUUAUGAUAAUGUGGUCAUGUUCUCACUAUUUUCAAUAUAUUCAGUUUCACAGUGGGCUAAAAUAGAGUUUGUGUUUGCUUAAGACCUAGUUCAAACAGCCACAGAUGUGUGUUAGUAGGUGUGUGACUGAGUUUGUGAGUGAUUGUGGUAGAGAGCGAGAGAGAGACAAAGAGAGAGAGAAUCAGAGUCCUGUAAGCAAGCCCCUCCUUCGAUAAAUGCACACUUUAGUCACUGCACUCAUGUGCCAACUCUGUGAACUCCACAUGGCAAACUGCAUGUUCCUGUAUAUAAAGAAAAUAUGAAUACAGAGGGUGGGAAAUAGUUACCAAAAAUCAAUAUUUACUCUUCUCUUUUUGCUGUCACAUGUGGGUGCCUCGUACUUGCUAACUUUACUUCCAUGAGUUGAGUUGCUUAGUUACAGUCAACUCCAGAAUAAUGAUACUUUUCUACACAAAGAAAAGAGGAGAAACUGUUUACCUUUCUUCUAACAUAAACCAUUCUUAUUAGAAACCUCUAUUAAAUAAUGUUGUUGUUUUUUUUGUCAAAAACCUGGCAAAAGUAUUGACACCCUUAACGAUUGUUUAAAAUAUGUAUAUAUAAAGUAAAUGUGAUUUUUGAAAAAACAAAGACAGUUGGUUGUUGACAUGCACAUGUAAUAGAUAUUAAAAGAAGAAGAAGAAGAAGAAGAAGAAGAAGAAGAAGAAGAAGAAGAAGAAGCCAUUAAAAUUACAUCUGUGCUAUAAAAAAGUUUAAAAAGUCUGGAGCUGUUAAAAACAUAAAGAAGAACCUAAAAUAUAACAAUUUCAGAAUUGCACAGUUUAGCUGAUUCUUGAGUUUGUCAAGUUUCUGAAUCUCCUAUUAGACACCACCACCAUAAUGACAAAAGAAGCCCUUCCUGAAAGCAACCCACAAAAUACAGGACCAAACUUCCCCAACUACCAUUGGCACUAUAAUUAGAAUUGUGUUGUGGUCAAGUGAAACCGAAAUGAAGGUUUUUCUCCAUGUAAACUAUCAGCAUGUUGGGUAAAUAUUGGGGUUUGCACACAAAGAAAGAGCACCUGAUACCCACUGUGAAAUAGUUUGGCGAAUAAUUGAUGCUUUGGGGCAUUUUUGUGGUUGGUGGUACAUGGGGUUUUAGAUUCUGCUAAAUAGCGGUCAAAAGUAUUUGUCCUCCUCCUGAUUUCUUCUUUUUUUUGUGUAUAUCUCAUACUAAAUAAUUUUAGAUCUUCAAACGAAAUAUAGCAUCAAACAAAGGCAACCUGAGUAAACACACAAUGCAGUUUUUAUUUUGUUUAUUUUUUAUUUUUUGAAGCAAAAAAAGUUAUCCAACACCUAACACCCAUGUGAAAAACUAAUUGCCCCUAAACGUAAAAUCCGGUUGUGACCCCUUUAGUGGAACCGAACUGCAACCAAAAGCUUCUGAUAACUGGAGAUCAGUCUUUCACAACGUUGUGGUGGAAUUUUGGUUCACUUUUCUUUGCAGAACUGCUUUAGUUCAGCCACACUGGAGGGUUUUCGAGCAUGAACUGCCUGUUUAAGGUCCUGCAGAGCAUCACAAUUGGUUCAAGUCAGGACUUUGACUAGACCAUGCCAAAACUUUCAUUUAGCUUUUUUUUAACCAUUCAGAGGUGGACUUACUCCUAUGCUUUGGAUCAUUGUCUUGCUGUAUAACAUUCUCCUUUAGGAUUUUCUGGUUAAGAGCAGAAUUCAGAUUUCCUUCAAUUAUGCAAGUUGCCCAGGCCCUGAAGCAGCAAAGCAUCUCCACACCAUCACACUUCCACCACCAUGCUUGACCGUAGUUAUGAUGUUCUUUUUGUGGUAUUCUGUGUUUGGUUUACGCCAGAUAUAACAGGACUUUCAACUCAUAAAUCCACAGAUCGUUCUCCCAAAAUGAUUGAGGAUCAUCAAGGUAUGUUUUGGCAAAAUUCAGAUGAGCCUUUAUGUUCUUCUGGGUUAACAAUGGUUUUCACCUCACCAUUCUCCCAUUUGCCCAGUGUCUUUCUGAUAGUGGAGUCAUGAACAGUGACCUUUAUUGAUGCAAGAGAGGCCUGUAGUUACUUUGAUGUUGUCCUUGGCUCUUUUGGGACUUCCUGGAUGAGUAGUUGCUGUGCUCUUGGAGAAAUUGUGGAAGGUCGGCCACUUCUGGGAAGGUUCACUACUGUACAGAGUUUUUCCAGUUGGAGAUAAUGACUCUCACUGUGGUUCUUUGGAGUCCCAGAGCCUCUGAAAUAACUUUGAAAUACAUCAGUCUGGAACGGGUUACAAUCACCUUCUUCCUCAUCAGACCUUUUAAACAACUUCAUGCUGUUGAAAAAGUUCUAUUUAUGUGUUGAUUUGAUUGAACAGGGUUUGCAGUAAUUCGGCCUGGUUGCUUCUAGUCCAGCUGAGCCUCAUUAUGAAUGCAGUUUCAUAGAUUUGGGGAAUUAGUAAUUACAAUCCCAAUCAUUUAAAAACUGUACUUUGUGUUUACUCAAGUUGCCUUUGUUAUAAUUUCUGAAACAAUUUAUUAUGAGAUAUACACAAAAACAGAAGAAAUCAGAAUGCAAAUACUUUUUCACAGCACUGUAGGUGACCAUAGAUGGAACAACAUAAUUACCCCCAAAGAGACAAAUUAUCAAAAGAAUUUUGGUGUGAAUACAAAAAUUCACAUAAAAUACUCAGCUCUCAUGGAUAUCAAACAAAUGCAAACACAACACAGGUGUAUAAAAAAUGUGUUAAAUAUAGGUGUGCAACAAUUAUCGGCACCCUUUUAGUCAAUAAUUUAUGCUACCAGAGCUCUUAUCUUGGCACGUAGUAGUACGUAGUAGCACAAAGUAUUGACUAAGUGGGUGCUGAUACUUUAAAAAAAAAAUAGCCAAAAUAGCCUCAAAUUGGUGUUUUCAUGGACUGGCACACUGUCCAGGGUGUACCCCGUCUUGUGCCCGAUGCUCCCUGGGAUAGGCUCCAGGUUCCCCAUGACCCUGAAAAGGAUAAGCUGUAUAGACGAUGGAUGGAUGGAUGGAUGGAUGGAUGGAUGGUGUUUUCAUGAUAAUGGUAGUGAAUGCUAUCUAACAUAUCACUCCUUCACUCCAGCUCCCAUUGGUGUUCAAUUGUGUUGAGUGUAAAGUGGUGCCAAUUUCCCUCACAAUAAUUGUGAGGGAAAUAUUCUCAUAAUUAUGUAGCUGUAUGGAAAACUUAUUUCUUUCAUCUCUUCAUUUGAAACCAUAGUGCUUUGAUGUAUUAUUGUAAAUAUUGAAUUUCAUUCUUUCCCAUUUAUAAUAGCUUUAUCCUGCUCAGGGUUACAUCAUAGGAGUUAUUCACAGGGCAUCAUACACACACACAACACACACACACACACACACACACACACACACACACACACACACACACACACACACACACACACACACACACACACACACACACACACACACACAAAUUCACACCUAUUGUCAAUUUAGUCACAAAUCCACCUACCAGCAUGCUUUUAGGAGUUGGGGGAAACUGGAGCACUCCCCAAUGGUGCAGCAGAAAAGCUCUGACAUGAUUGUCCAGAGAUCGCAAAUUCGAAUCCCAACAAUGCCACAGUUACCUAGGAGCCAAAUAUUUAUGCAAUAUAUUAUAAGUAUAGUAAUAGUACAGAUAACAUUGGUUGUAUUAAUUUGAUUUGUUUCUUAUCCUCCAUUAAUAUGUGUGUAUGUUUAGGAACAGCUGGUUUUUAUGUAGUGAGUCUGCUAAAAGGACCGGUCGCUAGUUUACUGGCUUGAAACUCAAUACAGCCAUUGAGCUCUUAUCUCCAAUACCCUAGCAUUCUCAUGGUCCAUGGCCUCCCAUUGUGAAUCACAUAGAGUACUGGGAUCUUUCAUAAACAGCAGUUUUGCAGUACUGUCACCAUGUCACUGGCACAGGAACAGGUCAGGAGGAAAAUUAAAUCCCUUUACUCAGAGAUAAAGAGGUACAGUAGAGUUUAACUUUGAAGCCACAGAACUGUUCUAAUCAAUCUUAGUGGUUUCUGGCAAAGCAUCACAAGCCCUGUUUGAGAAGGGUAAAUCGAUGCAGACAUCCUGAGCCAUGUCUGGAAUUGCUUGGGAAGUUAAAAAGCUCAUACAUGACAUGUUAGUUAUUUCCUCAAAAGAAAGUGAGCCAUAUCUGAAAUGGCAAAUGCAAAUUAGCAUUUGUUUUAUGUACAUUUCUAUGGGAGUGAACACAAAAAAGUCUUUUCUGACUCCUUUUUUUCUUUUUUUUCCUCUAAGCUCAUGUAUUCAUGAUGUGUCACUGACUUUCUACUGGAAAGACCAGAUGCGCCAUUUACAUCUGGAUCAGCCAGAUGAGGAGGAAUAGCAGAUACAGCUAGAUGCAUUUGCUUAUGCAGCUGUCUCAAAGCCACAGUAAUGCAUGGAAAUAAACAAUGGGACAUGACUGCCCAAAAAUCACAUCUGCAGUGUUAGCUUUAAAACUCUUUGUUGCAGGUUGAGCACUGCCUUCUAUUUCUAAAUUCCAUUUUCAUCUAGUCUGUGAAGGAAAACAAACAAACCAACAAGCAAACACACAAGAAAGUCUGAGAGGCAUAGUGGAGCAUAUUUCAAAGCCCAAUAUGACACCAACUGCCUUUCUUCUUGAGCAAAUAUGUCUCUUGUUUAAUAUUAACUGAGACAUUACAUUAAAAAUAUAUUGAUUAAGGAGUAAUUUAUAUUUCUAAAAUAUAAAUUAAAUAUAAAAUAUAAAUCUGUGCUCAAAAUCACUAAAUUACUUUAGGUGAAAACAGAACACUGGCAGAUGUGGCAAGGAGUGAAUGGUUCUUUGGCUGAAAUGGCAAAUCUCUAAAAUGAAGUGUUCAAGCUUUGAGGCUCUCUAUGUCAUGAUGUAGAAGGUGUGGAGAUGGGGGCCUCCAGGCCCUGUAGCAUGUGUGGUAGACCCAGAUGCCUCUUUUUGGUUUGGCAUGCUUGAUAAAUUAAUUCCCCUUGCCUGGUGUGGCUGUCGUUCCAGUUCAACUAGGUCCCACACAAACAGCUAUCUCCGUAGCUUCUCUUAUCUAGCUGUUGGACAUGGCUACUUAAUAAUAUUUGAAGUGAUAGGAAGACAUAUGCACUGUAAAUCAACCAAUGAAGAGUUAUUUGUAGCUCCAAAUAAUUUUAGUGACUACAUGUAUUUAUCAUGUUUGUAUCAGUAAGAAAAUUAUACAGGGUGUCCCAAACGUCUCCAUACAUUAAAAUGAACACUUUUUUUUUUUAGUAAAAUGUCCUCCAAAAUGUUUUCAUAUUUAGUUUAUAUUAUAUAUAAUUUUUUUUCAGAUAGCCUUUAAGAACGCGUUUGACAAAAGCAGAACGUAUUGAAAUCAUUCUCAUGACUGGAUCGGGAAGCUGUCGUAAAGUUGCGAUGGACUUUAACAGGAAACUGGGCGAGCACAUCACACACACGACACUGCUGCCAAACUUAUUAACAAUUUCAAAAAGACUGGAAGCACUGCAAACCAACCAAGUUGUGGACGACCACGAACAUCCACUCAUGAAGACACAACCAACGUGGUGCUGGCAAACAUAGUCCCCUACUAUGCCUCCAUACAUAGUAUGGAGACUUUGGGGACACCCUGUAUUAUAGUAUGCAAGAGUAGAAGCAAAUAUAUUAGUUAUUAACUAUGAGUUGGGUUGUGUAUUUGUAUUUGUGUUUCAGUGCUAAAUACACAAAUUUGUGUUUGUAUCUGGUGAAGUUUGAAUUGUUGAAAAGAUCAGGUGUCCAUACAGAUCAUGUUCACAGAAAUUACUCUGGCCUGUCAGUUCUACAGUUGGCAUCUCUUCAUCUUUAAGGAAAUGUUUGUCAGGUAUUUUUUUUAAACGUAUUAACAGGAUUAGUCUUGAAAAGGCAUUCGGUCUGAAAAAAAAUGAAACCCUCACAAAAAUUUGAAGACGAUCUGCAAACAUGUAUUCACAAGUAUGACGUGAUCUGGUAGGGUAUAAGAGUACACAAAACUAACACAUGUCCUGACAAUAGUACUCUAUAAAAAGUGGCUCCUGUUUGAAGAGUUUAAUUAAAGCAAAUGAGAGAAUCCCCACCCUUUGUCCACAGGGACAAAUAAUACCAUCUUUUUACAGGAACACUUCAAAAAAUGUGUCUGUUUAAGUCCCUUGUGGAAUUUUAUACUGACAUUUAGUCAUACCAACAACCAUCUGGUCUUAUUUUGAAGUUUUUUUAUUUAUUUAUUUUUAAAGAAUUGUAAAGUAUGGUAUUUAGAACAAAGGCCCUUUGUUCUUCAGUUUAUUUACAUUAAUGGUGUCUCAUUGACUGAGAUGAGUGACAUGCAUCAAAUAAAUAGAAGAUGCAGAAGAAGGCAGUGAAGUGGCUUGGAGGUUAAGACUGUGUUACUAAUUGGAAGGUUGGGGGUUCAAGUCCCAGCCACUGCCAGGCUCUGGGUUACUGAUCGGAAGGUUGGGGGUUCAAUCCCAAGCACUGCCAUGCUCUGGGUUACUGAUCAGAAGGUCAGGGGUUCAAGCCUAAGCACUGCCAGGAUCUGUGUUACUGAUCAGAAUGUUGGGGGUUCAAUCCCAAGCACUGCCAGGCUCUGUGUUACUGAUCGGAAGGUCGGAGUUCAAACCCCAGCACUACCAAUCUCUGGGUUUCUGAUCAGAAGGUCGGGGGUUCAAGCCCCAGCACUGCCAAGCUGCCACUGUUGGGCCCUUAACCCUCUCUGCUUCAGGGGCGCUGUAUCAUGGUUGACCCUGCACUCUGACCUCAGCUUCCUGACAUGCUGGGAUAUGCGAAGAAAAGAAUUUCACUGUGCUGUAUAUGAUCAAUAAAGAUUCAUUAUCAUUAUUUUAAUUUUAAGCAUCCAUGUGUUUAUAACUGUGUAUGCACCUGAUGAUUUUAUUGGACUUGUUUAUCAGGAAGAAAGACACCUUACGGUAUAGCAAUAGUAGCUUCCAGUAAGUGCAGCUACAUAGCUAUUUUUAAUAGAUUAAUAGUUAAUGAGGUAAUGGUGUGGUGUAGGGAAAGUUAGGGAAAUACAGACAGAGAGAGAGAGUAACUGCUUCUUUAAUACAGGUUGCUGUUGUUUAAUGUCAGUCACGCACAGCAAAUUGUCUUUAAAGAGACAAACGAAUGGAAAACAUUCACAAAGCCAUCUCACACACUCCCUUACUAUAGGCGCAUAUGGGCAUGUCUCUCUUCUCACAGAAAAUUCAUAAUAUAGAGUGAUGAUGUUCACAGGUAUCUUAACAGACUUUUGUACAAUAAUAUUCAAACAUUUAACCCAUUUAUGUUAUUUCACUGCUGUCAGAAAUGUGUGCAUACCAGUUAUGGAUCAUUGAUUAAUAUUAUUACGAGUAGGUUCCACUCAGUGCCACCCAUCCUAUUAUGCAAUUAUUACUAUGAACAUACCUGUAACUACGAUGAAACUAAUAGAAAAAUUUGAGUGAUAAAUGUAUCUGGAUCCUCAGACAGGUCCUGGAAGUUUAAGGGGUUAUAUUUUCGAAAGAUGGAACUCUGUUAUGAUCUGCAAUAAUCUAUUGACAGUCAUGGACAGAGCAUAAUAUGGAUAUUCACACUAUUGUAGAUCAUUUGCAAUGCACAAUGCUUUCACAGCCUUCAUAAACCUAGACUUUUGAAACAGUUUGUUGAAACGUUUCAAGAAACUAGGUGUAACAAGCUUUAAAGAUGCGCAAGGAGGAGACAGCUCCCUCCCUCCUACUCACCACACUGCUCCAUGGGCAAUUUCAGACCUUUGGUUUGACGUACACCCCCUCCCACCAUUUCAAAAGGGUGGUGCUGCUCUUCUGCCUAUAUCCUUCGGCCGGCUGGCCCCAGGAGAGACGAGGAGAGAUAGAGAGUGAGCAGGAGAGACAGCAAGAGGGAGCGAGAGGAGAGAGAGAGAGAGAGGGAGAAACACAGUUCCCCAGAGAUUGUGGGGGAGUGCCAUUGCCCAGCAUUGUGGAGGACUGCCCAGCAGGCUGAGGACAAGAAGACAGUGCUUCUUGUCCUCAGCCUGCUGGGCAUUCCUCCACAAUGCCAAGCGAAGGCACUGGAUUUCUGGGUGGAUGGCUGCAGCUCCUCCACUUUUCUGGCAGACGGCAGCCAUACUACUGCCUCCCCAAUGGACGGCUAUGGCUCAUCGCUUUUUCAGGUGAAUGGCAGCCAUGCCUCCGGCUCCCCAACAGAUGGCAGCGAGUCCUCCGUCCCUGGCAGACAGCAACCGCUCCUCCCCUUCCAGGUGGAUGGCAGCGGAUCCUCCGCCUCCCGGGAGCCAGCAACAACUCCUCUGUCCCUACCGGCAACCGCUCCAGCACCACCGCCUCCUCAGCGCCGUGAUCCUCCGACAGCACCAAGGUCUCUCCGACAGCACGCCCCUUCUACUUCCCAAGUUUUGUCACCUUUGUAACAAACCUUAAAGAUGAGCAAGGAGGAGGCAGGAACCAGCUGAAUAUAUACAUAAGGCUUAAUAAUGAACAGAACAUAAACAUAACACAAACAUAACAGAAACAUAAAGCGCACAUGCAUCUUUCUCUCCCCCUCUGGCGCUUCCAGCCGCUCAUGUAUCUCUCUCUCCCACUGAUUACACAACUCAGUGCCAGGCAUGCAUCCUCACAGCCUGGCCCCUCCCUGGUCCUUGUCACACUAGGCUUAUAUAAUUCUAGAAAAACCAGAAUUAGUUUAAAUAGAAAGGCUUAAACCUAAAAUGAAUCUGUUAUGAAAAGAAUAAAACAUGACAGGACAUGCUGUUAUAGGGGGAAAAAACUAAGGGGUUGGUAUGUUAUCCUAUAACAGUACAUCCUAAUGUAUUUUUUUUAUUCCUCUAAUACCACAGCAAUUUGUCAAUGUUUACAGUUUUGUGUUUAUUAAAGAACAACACCUCAUACUUUGUUAUACCAUUUGUAAUUACAUGUUGGAGGGCAUGGUGGCUUAGUGGUUAGCAUGUUUCCCUCGCACCUCCAGGAUUGGGGGUUCAAUUCCCCCCUUUGCGUGCAUGGAGUUUGCAUGUUCUCCCCGGGGGUUUCCUCCGGGCACUCCAGUUUCCUCCUCCAGUGCAAAGACAUGCUUUGUAGGCUGAUUGUCAUCUAAAAAUUGUCCGUAGUAUGUGAAUGGGUGUAUAAGUGUGUGUACGAUUGUGCCCUGCAAUGGGUUGGAACCCCAUUAAGGGUAUACCCUGCAUUAUUCCGCGAGUCCCCUGGGAUAGUCUCCAGGCCCCCCCGCAAUCCUGUGUAGGAUAAGCGGUACAGAAAAUGGAUGGAUGGAUUGAUAUUUACAUGUUCAUGUAGCGCAACGUCAGUAAAAGAAGUUAGUUCCUUAUGUUUACAACAGCUAUUAACAGUAAUUCCCUAACACAGAAUUCUUUCUGUGGAAUUCUGUGUUUGGUUUACGCCAGAUGUUACGGGACCCAAACAGUUUCACUUUUGACUCAUCAGUCCACAGAACAUUCUAACAAAAGAUUUGAGGAUCAUUAUGGUGUGUCUUGGCAAAAUUCAGACGAGUCUUAAUGUUAUGGGUAAACAGUGGUUUUCAUCUUCCAUGGAUGCCGUUUUUGUCCAGUGUCUUUCUGACAGUAGAGUCAUGAACAGUGACCUUUAUUGAUGCAAGAGAGGCCUGUUAGUCCUUUGAUGUUGUCCUUGGCUCUUUUGUGACUUCCUGGAUGUGUAGUUGCCGUGCUCUUGGAGGAAUUUUGGAAGGUCGGCCACUUCUGGGAAGGUUCAGUACUGUGCCGAGUUUUUCCAUUUCGAGAUAAUGGCUCUCACUUUGGUCCUUUGAAGUCCCAGAGCCUUUGAAAUAGCUUUGUAACCCUUCCCAGACUGAUUCAUUUCAAUCAGCCUUCCUCUUAAUUUCUAGAAUUUGUGUCAAUUUUGGCAUAGUGUGUUACUGAGUAAGAGCUUUUAACCAACUUCAUGCUGUUGAAAAAGUUCCAUUUAAGUGUUGAUUUGAUUGAACAGGGUUUGCAGUAAUCAGGCUCGAUUGUAUCUCGUCCAGCUGAACCCCAUUAUAUAUGCAGUUCAAAUCAUAGAUUUGGGGAAUUAGCAACAACAGGAGCAAAUGCAUUUUCACACAGGCCCAGUUGGUAUCGGACAACUUUUUUUUUUUUGCUUCAAUAAAUAACUAUCAUUUAAAAACUGUAUUGUGUGCACUGUAAAACCGGAUAAGUUAAUUUAACUCAAAAAAUUUGAAGAAACUAAUUACCUCAAAAUUUUUAAGUUGAUAAAUCAAUUUCUUUAAGCCAAAUACACUUAAAUAUAA